GGGGUCCUGGCUGACCUGGCAGCGCUCCUGCUCAGGGCUGUAGGUCUCGCCCCAGCCGAAGAGGGGGGCGAGGGAGAUGGCGGCGGAGAGCACCCAGGUGAGCGCGAUCAUCACGUUGGAGAUGCGGCGGCGGGUGAGAAGCGUGUACUGCAGGUGGCGGGUGAUGGACCAGUAGCGGUCCAGGGCGAUGGCAGUCACGUUCCAGAUGCUGGCGGUGCAGCACAGCACGUCGAAGCUGACCCACACGAGGCACAGCUCCCGGCCCAGCGCCACACCCGCCCGGCCGAAAGCUCCUUCACCAGGCUCAGCGGCAUCACCAGCGCCGCCACCAGCGCGUCCGACACCGCCGUGGAGGCCACGAGGUUGUGGGGCACCCGGUGGAAGGCCUUCACCCGCAGGAUGGUCGCCAGCACCAGCAGGUUCCAGAGGAAGGUGGCCACGGUCAUAUGGUGCUGUUGAGAGAUAUCCAAAGGGAUUAGAAGAAAUUGAGCAUCUGUAAAUAAGACCAAAGAAGAUUGAAAAGUCCUUUGAAAGCUUCAUACAGUUUUGCUACAGAUCAUCUGCAAUAGGGCUUAGUACUGUGAAUACAGUUCUUAAGCUGGAUGACACAGAUAUAGCAAAGUGAAUGUGUUUCUAGACAGCACCCCAAUUUUCCAUUUGUCUUCCCUUCUCUUAAUGGCAUCUUUCCUCUACCUCUCCUCACAACUCCAUAUCAAAAGUUUAUCGUGGUGG